rnacentral:ncRNA from 1 species
GAUCUGGUUGAUUCUGCCAGUAGUCAUAUGCUUGUUUCAGGGACUUAGCCAGGCAUGCCUCAGAAUCACUGCAUGGCAGGAAUCUGGGCAUGGCUCAUUACAUCGGACGUAAUCUGCCGCCAAAAUCUGGCGGUCU